ACCAGACUCCUACGGGAGGCAGCAGUGGGGAAUAUUGGGCAAUGGGCGCAAGCCUGACCCAGCAACGCCGCGUGAAGGAAGAAGGCUUUCGGGUUGUAAACUUCUUUUCUCAGGGACGAAGCAAGUGACGGUACCUGAGGAAUAAGCCACGGCUAACUACGUGCCAGCAGCCGCGGUAAUACGGAGGAUGCGAGCGUUAUCCGGAUUUAUUGGGUUUAAAGGGUGCGCAGGCGGGGGCACAAGUCAGGGGUAAAAGCGCGGGGCUCAACCCCGCGCCGCCGUUGAAACUGUGUCCCUUGAGUGCGCGAAGGGUAGGCGGAAUGCGUGGUGUAGCGGUGAAAUGCAUAGAUAUCACGCAGAACUCCGAUCGCGAAGGCAGCCUACCGGCGCGCUACUGACGCUCAUGCACGAAAGCGUGGGUAUCGAACAGGAUUAGAUACCCCAGUAAG
rnacentral:rRNA from 1 species